AGCGAACGCUGGCGGCAGGCUUAACACAUGCAAGUCGAGCGGGCAUAGCAAUAUGUCAGCGGCAGACGGGUGAGUAACGCGUGGGAACGUACCUUUUGGUUCGGAACAACUGAGGGAAACUUCAGCUAAUACCGGAUAAGCCUUUACGGGGAAAGAUUUAUCGCCGAAAGAUCGGCCCGCGUCUGAUUAGCUAGUUGGUGAGGUAAUGGCUCACCAAGGCGACGAUCAGUAGCUGGUCUGAGAGGAUGAUCAGCCACAUUGGGACUGGGACACGGCCCAAACUCCUACGGGUGGCAGCAGUGGGGAAUAUUGGACAAUGGGCGCAAGCCUGAUCCAGCCAUGCCGCGUGAGUGAUGAAGGCCCUAGGGUUGUAAAGCUCUGUUGUGCGGGAAGAUAAUGACGGUACCGCAAGAAUAAGCCCCGGCUAACUUCGUG
rnacentral:rRNA from 1 species